GGCCUGAUGGUCUAGGGGUAUGAUUCUCGCUUUGGGUGCGAGAGGUCCCGGGUUCAAAUCCCGUUCAGGCCC
rnacentral:tRNA from 1 species